rnacentral:rRNA from 1 species
AUGAACGCUGGCGGCGUGCCUAAUACAUGCAAGUCGAGCGAACGGACGAGAAGCUUGCUUCUCUGAUGUUAGCGGCGGACGGGUGAGUAACACGUGGAUAACCUACCUAUAAGACUGGGAUAACUUCGGGAAACCGGAGCUAAUACCGGAUAAUAUUUUGAACCGCAUGGUUCAAAAGUGAAAGACGGUCUUGCUGUCACUUAUAGAUGGAUCCGCGCUGCAUUAGCUAGUUGGUAAGGUAACGGCUUACCAAGGCAACGAUGCAUAGCCGACCUGAGAGGGUGAUCGGCCACACUGGAACUGAGACACGGUCCAGACUCCUACGGGAGGCAGCAGUAGGGAAUCUUCCGCAAUGGGCGAAAGCCUGACGGAGCAACGCCGCGUGAGUGAUGAAGGUCUUCGGAUCGUAAAACUCUGUUAUUAGGGAAGAACAUAUGUGUAAGUAACUGUACACAUCUUGACGGUACCUAAUCAGAAAGCCACGGCUAACUACGUG